rnacentral:rRNA from 1 species
AUUGAACGCUGGCGGCAGGCCUAACACAUGCAAGUCGAACGGUAACAGGAAACAGCUUGCUGUUUCGCUGACGAGUGGCGGACGGGUGAGUAAUGUCUGGGAAACUGCCUGAUGGAGGGGGAUAACUACUGGAAACGGUAGCUAAUACCGCAUAACGUCGCAAGACCAAAGAGGGGGACCCUCGGUCCUCUUGCCAUCGGAUGUGCCCAGAUGGGAUUAGCUUGUUGGUGGGGUAACGGCUCACCAAGGCGACGAUCCCUAGCUGGUCUGAGAGGAUGACCAGCCACACUGGAACUGAGACACGGUCCAGACUCCUACGGGAGGCAGCAGUGGGGAAUAUUGCACAAUGGGCGCAAGCCUGAUGCAGCCAUGCCGCGUGUAUGAAGAAGGCCUUCGGGUUGUAAAGUACUUUCAGCGGGGAGGAAGGGAGUAAAGUUAAUACCUUUGCUCAUUGACGUUACCCGCAGAAGAAGCACCGGCUAACUCCGUG